rnacentral:sRNA from 1 species
AUGUCCACCGAUCUCGAAUUCUUACACGACGUGUCGAAAACCCGGCUACUCACGGUCAAGACUCGAACUUCAUCGACACCCGAAGCCUCCAACACCAAUGGUGGCAACAACAACAUCGGAGUUGUGGGACAAAAGAUUAACGAGGAUGAAAAUGACGUUGAAUACUACUGUCGGACUCCAACAUCCAAGGAACACAGAAUUCCCUCGAUCCUAGACUGUCCCCCGGCGCCACGUAAACCAAAAAGAGCAUCCUCAUGCAAAAGAAAACUCUCCGAGGUUCAGUUUUUCGAAAUCAUGAACUAUGAUGAGGUCGAUGCGUUUUUCAGAUCGAGCUUCGACAAGUUAGCUGUUCUUGCCUCAGUCAAGAGGAACUGUUGCCCAUGUAAAUGAAUCGGCUGUGCCAAGGUUGAAAAUAUUACACGACUAUGUGUGUGUGUGUGUGUUUUUUUUUUUUUUUUUUGGAAUAAUCUUUUCUAUAUAUAUAUAUAUGAUUUGUAAUACUGGGUAUAUAUGGAUAUGGUUGACAUGAUCAUAUGUAUCCAUCCCACUGCUGCAUGAGAUUGGAUUCAGGGUCCUAAUGGGUGUCUGAAAUUUCUGACAAUUUGGGAUCUGAACCUUGAUUAAUAAUUAAUUACGUCAAUAUGAAUUUUAUGGAUUUUAUUUUAUUUAUGUGAUUUUUUAGUGUUCGCAUGUUGAGUAAGAUUUGAGUUACUUUUGAUUGAUUUUUCUUUUUAAAAAAAUUUGGGUUUUGGCCCUUUUGGGGGAGAGAUUAAAGAGGAUAAAAAGGUUAAUAUAUUGCAAGGAUAAUUAUGCUCAUGAUCGAAGGAGUUCGAUUUGGUAGAUGUAGUUUUAUUGUUAUUAUUUUCUUAAGGUGGAAGAUUUUUUUUAAGGCACUUAAGGUAGAAGAUAAUGAUCCUUGAUUAUGCAUUAGUAUUUUGCUGGUUGUUGGCUAAGAUGGUUGAUCUGUAUUGUGUUGUAUAUUUAUGUUGAGUAAUUGACUUUAUUUUGAGAGAGAGAGAGAGAGAGAGAAGGGUGUAUGUAACUAUGUAUGGAUUCAUGCACCACAACUAGUAUUCAAUUGGAUAUACAAUUAAAAUUCAAAACUGAAAGAACUUAUUAAUCAUACCUCAUCUACGUGUCAAAUCUGUAGUCAUAAAUUCAUAAUUAGAAUUUCACUAACCCACCGGUGUUCAAGUGCCACCGUUUCAUUUGUCAAACAUCCAAUUAGACUUUUGGGGCCUUUGGCACACAUCAAUCGUACACAUUGCCUGUAAAUAAACUCUUAAAACUACAAUCUUGUUCAUGAAUUGGAGUUAGGGAUGAUUACAUUUUAUCCUGUCAAGAAUAUUUGAAGUAUUCCUAAUCGUAAGGCAACUCUUUCUAAUUAAAAUGGUCAAAUAUUUAUAUACAUCUGUGUGUAUUCUUGUGAGCUCAUCAUGUCAUGACUCAUGAGUGGAUGAGACUCUUAAUUGGACCAAUUUUUGAACUAAUCAAUUGGUAAUGGGUCUGUAUGGCUACCUCUUUCUAAUUAAUGUUGGUCAAAUUAUUAGUUAACCAUGGAAUGCCACCUCUCAUUGAGUAGAGUAAAAAAGAAGGGCCAUCCUUCCGUGACUUUGAGUCUUUGACCAGUUAUGUGUCUUGAAACUCAUUUAAAGAACAAUUUCUAAUAGUAAUAACAUCUCUUAACCACCUCGAUCGGGCCAGAUCCACGUUAUUGCCUCCAUAAGAACUUGAAUUUUUCACCAUUAGGUUGGUAAAAAACUAAUAACAUGUGUCGCAUGACGUACGACAUAUUCUAAAACUAAACUUAGUUAUUUUGGUUUUCUCGGUAACUAUCAAGACACGACAUUUUUUACAAUUAUAAUUAUUGAUAUGAUUAGUUUACGAUUUGUGCAUAAUAAAUUAAAGUAAUAUCAAUAAUGGAUCCAAAUGAAAGCAAUAAUAUUGCUUUAAUCACAUUAGACUAUAUCAAGUAUUAAGUUAUAUAUAUGCCUUCUCAACCAAAAAAAAAAAAAAAAGUAGUAAGUUAUAUAUAUGCCUUCUCAACAAAAAAAAAAGAAAAAAGUAUUAAGUUAUAUGUUGAAAAUGUUAUGUUCCUAUUAUUAUCAUUUUUCUAAGCGUUAGUCAUCAACUAAUUAGGUUGGCCGAUAUACUCUUGUCUGCCAAAUUAUAAUUAAAAUCAUGUUCUUGUUGCUCCCCUUCUUUUUUUUUUCUUUUUUCUUUUUUUGAGAAAAAUCCCCUCAAGAGUAGAGAUCAUAUUAUUGCAUCCUUACUAAAUCAAGUUGGUACACCUCAAAAAUGUCUGGUGGAACAGACUCCAUCCAGACCAAAAAUAGGUAACUGGCCGCUCGCUUAACAAGCUUAUGUGCCACUUCUUAUCGUUUUAUUUUAUGAGUAUUUCUUAUCCAUAUUAUUUUAGGCCCUUACUACUUAUCCAUAUUAUUUAGGCCUUUCUCUACUUUCAAUUGCUUUUUGGACUAAAAUUUCUGUUAUGGACGAAAUGACACUCUCUAUCUUAGGCCAGUGGCAUACAUUUAUAUACAUUUUAUCUUUUACUACUCAUCCAGCUCUAUAAAUAGUACUGGUCAAUGAAAGGUACAUUUUUUCUCAAAUAUUUGUGGUGAGAUUUGUUAGAAGCAUUUUACGUACCCCAAAAGAAAAUGAAUUGCAAAACUUUUAUGUUCCUAGGUGUCCUCUUUGCUGUUAUUUUUCUCGUCUGCUCAGUUGUGGUGGCAAAGACACCCAACGAACCCCUACAAACGUUAGCAUAUUGUCACCUUUUUUUUUCUUUGUAAAAUAGUUCACUUUAUCUUUGCAACAAAUAUUAGAUGUGUUUAUUUUUCCUUCCUUUAUUUUUUAGCUAAAAUUCAAUUUAGUCCUUGAAUUAUACUUCAAUUGUAAAUAAAUUCUUAAAAUUAAUUAGUUUUUUCCAAUCUAUAUAUCUAAUAAUAAGUGAAGUAGAGACAGUGUGAAAUUGAAUUCCAAAUUAGAAUUCUAAUUGUGUGCCACAUGUACACACCAAAUUAGAGUUCUAAUUUUGUGCCAUGUGUCUAGAAUCUGAAAUUGAAGUUGAAUUUUGCAUAACGUGGCUAAAUGUAUGUGGGCUCAUUCUCAUUAAAACCACUUCUAUGUAUCGGGUCAAGUGAGUUACUGUGCUAAUUAAAUUUUUUUCUUGAUUUUGCAGUCAAACGUGAAAACCAAAGAGAUUAAUAUCGAUAAUAAGAACUUGGUUUGGGUACAUUGCAUAAUUUCCAAAAAGAUAAAUGUAUGUGAGCUCAUUCUCAUUAAAAUCACUUCUAUGUAUCGGGUCAAGUAAGUUACUGUGCUAAUUAAGUUUUUUCUUGAUUUUGCAAUCAAACGUGAAAAUCAAAGAGAUUAAUAUCGGUGAUAAGAACUUGAUUUGGGUACAUUGCAUAAUUUCCAAAAAGAUAGAAAAACCAGAGUUUGCAUCUUUGUUAUAAAUUGCUUACAAAGUUUGCAUCUUUACAUUUGCACUGAGUUUCGGAUUAAAGUGUUUUCUUUUUGGUUCUAACAUUGAGUUUUGUUUACUUUUCACUUACAAAGUUUGCAUCUUUACAUUUGUUAUAAAUUGCUAAUAUGUGAUUAGAUGCACAUUAUGCCUAAAAUUCAUUAUCCUUAUAUUUGGCUUUUUGUUCAAGUUUGGCACCUAUAACAAUGAAGAAAGCACUACUGUGGACCGAUGGAUGAUAUUUUUUGCAAACUGCAAAGGAACUUAGUGAUCAAUGAAAUCUCACGCGAAUUGGAGAGGACCCGGCUGUAGAUGUCUGGAUGGCAGAUGUGAGUCACUAUGUUUUUAAAAUUUUCAGUGAAGGUAAAGGUUACAAUGUAAAUUUUUCGGAGAGAGAUUUAUUAUUCUAUAUUUAGGCAAGUUUAGUUGUCUUCUUGGAGUGGAUCACUCCACCCUGUCUUUCUACUGGAAUUUUUUAUUCAAAUUGUUACAAUUUAAUCCGAAAUUUUAUUUAAAUUUUCCUAUUGUUGUUACUAUCAUAUAUUAUUAUUCCAAUUGUUCAAUUAGAAUCUGAAAUUGGAGUCCAAUUUUACUAUGCACAUGUACAAUCUAAUUAUUUUUAAUUUUACUGUCAUGUGUAGAAGCCAAUGAGAUGAAAUUAAUAACACAUUAAAUACUUAUGCUUUGGGAAUCGGUAGUACCAAUUUAAAUCCAUUGGACCUGCUUUGUGAUAAUACAACUAUGAAGGAUAUAUAAAAACACGCACAAACCCAUCUCUCUAUAAGAAGAGAUUGGAGAGAAUUUCUUUUAUCAGCCAUGGAAUUUUAGAGGUUUUUUCUUCACACAAAUGUCCAUCAUGUUACAAAAUGACUCAUCAUAAAACUACAAAAUGAGUAUAACUCUGAGGGGUUUUUUUUUUUUUUUUUAAAUUUUUUAAGCUACGAAAAUUUCAAUCACCAAUAGAGAUUGAAGAUUCAAAAGCUUGAAUGGAUCUUUUGGAUAAAUAUUGUCACCAAGGUUCAUCUUUCUAUGUAAAAUAUAUAUACUGCUAAAUUUUGUUAAUGAAAUUUUCUUGUUAAUAAUAUGAAUUUAGACUUAACUGAGUCUUUUAAACAUGAAUAAACUCAUAAUUAAUAAUAUAUCAAUUCCCGUGCGGUAGCAUGGUGCUACAUACUAGUUUAGAUAGUAUCUUGCUUUGUUAAAAUAAGUCAAUUUUGACCUUUCGUCCAAAUCUAUUAGCAUAUAAAGCUGUUAAAACAAAUUGUUUUAGUAAAUUAUGAUACCCUAAUUUGAGGUUUAUCAAAAUAAUACUCUCUUCAAAAGUUUCAUGAAUUGGGGCUCCUAAUUGAGGUUAUUAUUAUUACUUAUUUAUUUAUUUAUUAUAAUUUGAUAGUGAUGUUGCGGAAGAGAAAAUUAAUUGAAAUUGUGGUGUUUAUUGAAAAUACUAUGAGCUUGUUUGGUAAUGGUAUUCAAGUAUUGUUGUUCAAAAUAAUGUGAAAACUAUGGAUAAAAAAUGUUGUGAAAACAUAAGUUUAGUACUCAUAAUGCAAAAAAUGUGUUUGAUACCAUAUUUUUAAUGACAUAUUUUCAAAUGUGAAAAAUAGAAUUUUGUGUUUGAAAUGUGUAUAUGUUUGUUUGGUUUUUUUUUUUUUUUUUUUUUUUUUUUUUUAAGUGGGUUAAGUUAUCAACUUUUUUUUUUACAAUACCGUGCUUUUAAUUUCUUUGAUGAGAACGAGAGAGACAGUCCCACCCAUUCCCACAGCCAAGCAAUAUAUCUCAUUUUUCCUCUUCUUCGUUUUUCCGACAUCUUUUUCCCAUCUCCUUCUUCAUUUUCUUCCCUCAUCCAACAAUGAGAAGAAGAGCAAAAACAAUGGAGGUGAAGAGAGAGAAAGAGAUGAGGUGAAGUAAUUAGAGAGAGGACUGAAAAGAAGGUUGAGAGAGAGAGAGAGAGCACCAUUAGGUGCUGUUAGUCAGUUGCCAAACUUGUGACUCCCACAAUUUUCAAUAUAUUUACAAUAAUGUCAUCCAACAUUGUUACCUUAAAACUAAAAAUUGGUCUAAAUGUGCUUUUAAAAUAUAGUGUUUAAAUACUCUAAAUUGAAAAUUGUAACUUAAACACUCUUAAUCAAACACAGUUUUUUUUUUUAACCAUAAUUUUCAGUGUAAUGCAACAAUUUAGAUUUAAGUUAUUGAUAAAACAUUCAAUUGUUUUUUAAAAAUAUCUUAUUAAUUCAUACAUAGGUCAAGUGAGAUACGUUAAUCAUCCACAAACCUCAAGUUACAAACGAGUGUCAUUUUUUCUAAAUUUGUCCAUAAUUUAGAUAAGAUUCUUUUAAAAAAAUGCAAACAACACCCUUAAAUAGGAUGUUCAUAUUUGGUAGAAGAUAGAGAGCGGUAACAGGAAUUUUUGAUGAGUACAUUUUUUUUUUUUAAAAUUCUAUUAGGCCUCUCUCUACCUUCAAUGGCUUUUGCGAGAACUUAUCCAUAAUUUAGAUAAGAAAUGACAUGUUCAAAUUUUUUUUUUUUCAAGUAAGUAAAAAUACAAACAACAUCCUUUAAAUUUAAUCAAUUAUCAUUUUAAUCUUGUAAAAAUACAAAUCACACAUUUUAAAUUUAAUUAAUUGAGAUUUUAGUCUUAUAAGUUUACAUUUAUUAUAACCUAUAAUAUCAAUCUUUUGAAUGAAUUGAUAGAAAGACUAACGAAGAAGCAAAUAUUAAUUUACACGACCAAAAUGGCAAAAAUGAAGUAUAUACACUCCAUAGACCAAAAUGACAAUAGAACAAACUUAUAAGAUAUAAUUUAUAUAUAUAUAUAUAUAUAUAUUUUUUUUUUUCCAAAAAUGCUUUCAUCCUUCUAGACUAGUUCAGCUUCUUCACACAAGCAUCAAGAACUUUCGAGAGAUCACAAGCGAAUCCAACAUGCCAUCCUACGUGUCACCAUCCUAUUCGACCUCGUACGUGUAAUACCAGCAAGUUCAACGACUAACGCUGACGUGUCGCGAUUCUAUUCGCAGGAAUACUCUAGCAAAACUAUCACCGCCAACACCAGCCCAAACCAUUAUAAAGUACUCCUCCUCUGUUUCCCUCCACUUCAUAGUUCAGAGAAAAAAAAAAAAAAAAAAAAAUCCGAUUCGCUCGAAAAAACUCCGAAACGUUUCAGAUUCAUAGUAACUCAAAAACGAAACGAAAUCGUUAGAAGAGAGCAGAACGAAGUAAAGUAACAAUCAACAUUCGACAAUGAGGGUGCAGAACAAGACGGUGGCGUUUUUGCUUCUCUUUGUUUCAGGUAACAUUUGUUGUUUAAUGUUUAAUGUUCUGUUUGGUUUGGAUUGAAAUAUGCUUCUAAAUUCACUUGAAACAAAAAAGUGUUAUUAGGAAAUGUUAAGAUUAAGAUGAUGUUUCCAUAAAACUGCUUUCUAAGAAACAGAGCAUUCUAAAACAAAGCUAAAUUUUGUUUCUUGUUUGAUUUGAAUGAGAAUUGACAACUGGGUUGGUUAAUUUUUUAGAAUUUAAUUCUUGGGACAACAAAAAUAACCCAAAAAAUUUGAUGGGUUUUGCUUUGUUUUCUUUUUGGAUCACUUUUUUCCUGGGAAAUUAAACAGGGGACCAGAAAGUUUGUGAGGUUUUGGGUAUUUCGGGUGUUAUAAUUUAGCGGAAAAGUUUCGAAAUUUGUGUUUUAGUUUUGUUUUUAAGAUUAGUUCAUAGAUGUCUCUGACUCUGAGUUGGUUCCUCAGACUAGGAAAUGCAUUAUUUUAAUGAAUUUUCCAAUAACAUUAAAUUGUCUUUUUGACUGAAAACUCACUGAAAGCACUUGAAUUUGUUGUUGAGAAUUGGGUUUUUGCUGAAACUAAUUAAACUCUUUUUUGUGUGUGUUUUGGAAGAAUUUUUGUUAGGAAUAGCAGUGGCAGCCGAUGAUGCCUCUCCGAAGCUCGGGACUGUGAUUGGUAUUGAUCUCGGAACAACCUACUCUUGUGUGGGUGUGUACAAGAACGGUCAUGUAGAGAUUAUAGCCAAUGAUCAAGGGAACAGAAUCACACCCUCCUGGGUCGCAUUCACUGAUACUGAGCGUUUAAUAGGCGAGUAAAAAAAAAAAAAAAAAAAAAUCCGAUUCGCUCGAAAAAACUCCGAAACGUUUCAGAUUCAUAGUAACUCAAAAACGAAACGAAAUCGUUAGAAGAGAGCAGAACGAAGUAAAGUAACAAUCAACAUUCGACAAUGAGGGUGCAGAACAAGACGGUGGCGUUUUUGCUUCUCUUUGUUUCAGGUAACAUUUGUUGUUUAAUGUUUAAUGUUCUGUUUGGUUUGGAUUGAAAUAUGCUUCUAAAUUCACUUGAAACAAAAAAGUGUUAUUAGGAAAUGUUAAGAUUAAGAUGAUGUUUCCAUAAAACUGCUUUCUAAGAAACAGAGCAUUCUAAAACAAAGCUAAAUUUUGUUUCUUGUUUGAUUUGAAUGAGAAUUGACAACUGGGUUGGUUAAUUUUUUAGAAUUUAAUUCUUGGGACAACAAAAAUAACCCAAAAAAUUUGAUGGGUUUUGCUUUGUUUUCUUUUUGGAUCACUUUUUUCCUGGGAAAUUAAACAGGGGACCAGAAAGUUUGUGAGGUUUUGGGUAUUUCGGGUGUUAUAAUUUAGCGGAAAAGUUUCGAAAUUUGUGUUUUAGUUUUGUUUUUAAGAUUAGUUCAUAGAUGUCUCUGACUCUGAGUUGGUUCCUCAGACUAGGAAAUGCAUUAUUUUAAUGAAUUUUCCAAUAACAUUAAAUUGUCUUUUUGACUGAAAACUCACUGAAAGCACUUGAAUUUGUUGUUGAGAAUUGGGUUUUUGCUGAAACUAAUUAAACUCUUUUUUGUGUGUGUUUUGGAAGAAUUUUUGUUAGGAAUAGCAGUGGCAGCCGAUGAUGCCUCUCCGAAGCUCGGGACUGUGAUUGGUAUUGAUCUCGGAACAACCUACUCUUGUGUGGGUGUGUACAAGAACGGUCAUGUAGAGAUUAUAGCCAAUGAUCAAGGGAACAGAAUCACACCCUCCUGGGUCGCAUUCACUGAUACUGAGCGUUUAAUAGGCGAGGCCGCGAAGAAUCAAGCGGCUCUCAAUGCCGAACGUACCAUUUUCGAUGUUAAGCGGCUUAUUGGAAGGAAGUAAGUGAACUUUUUUCAACAUUUUGGAUUGAUAUUGUUUGUGGUUUUGUUGAGAACAAUGAUGAAGAAGGAAAAAUGGAUCACUUGCACUAAUACUAUGAAAAAUGGUUGCUUAAUAAUAAAUUGUGAAUUUAAUCAAGCAAUUAGUUAGAUGGUUGUAGAUUUUGGUUUUGUUGAGAAGAAUGAUAAAGUAAGUGAAUUGGACCACUUGCUUUGAUAUUAUGAUAAAUUAUCCCAUUUUCAAAAGCUUCUGAUUAACACUAAAGAGUGAAUCUCAUGGUUUAAGAUUUAGAUUGGUAUACUUGGGUUUUGUGUUUUGGAGGGGUAAAUUGAAUGGCUUGUUUUUAUUUGGUUUUGUUUGUAGGUUUGAUGAUCCGGAGGUUCAGAGGGAUAUUAAGUUUUUGCCUUAUAAGAUUGUGAAGAAGGAUGGGAAGCCUUAUAUUCAGGUGAAGGUGAAAGGUGAGACAAAGGUGUUUAGCCCUGAGGAAAUCAGUGCUAUGAUAUUAGGGAUCUGAAAACUCACUGAAAGCACUUGAAUUUGUUGUUGAGAAUUGGGUUUUUGCUGAAACUAAUUAAACUCUUUUUUGUGUGUGUUUUGGAAGAAUUUUUGUUAGGAAUAGCAGUGGCAGCCGAUGAUGCCUCUCCGAAGCUCGGGACUGUGAUUGGUAUUGAUCUCGGAACAACCUACUCUUGUGUGGGUGUGUACAAGAACGGUCAUGUAGAGAUUAUAGCCAAUGAUCAAGGGAACAGAAUCACACCCUCCUGGGUCGCAUUCACUGAUACUGAGCGUUUAAUAGGCGAGGCCGCGAAGAAUCAAGCGGCUCUCAAUGCCGAACGUACCAUUUUCGAUGUUAAGCGGCUUAUUGGAACGAAGUAAGUAAACUUUUUUCAACAUUUUGGAUUGAUAUUGUUUGUGGUUUUGUUGAGAACAAUGAUGAAGAAGGAAAAAUGGAUCACUUGCACUAAUACUAUGAAAAAUGGUUGCUUAAUAAUAAAUUGUGAAUUUAAUCAAGCAAUUAGUUAGAUGGUUGUAGAUUUUGGUUUUGUUGAGAAGAAUGAUAAAGUAAGUGAAUUGGACCACUUGCUUUGAUAUUAUGAUAAAUUAUCCCAUUUUCAAAAGCUUCUGACUAACACUAAAGAGUGAAUCUCAUGGUUUAAGAUUUAGAUUGGUAUACUUGGGUCUUGUGUUUUGGAGGGGUAAAUUGAAUGGCUUGUUUUUAUUUGGUUUUGUUUGUAGGUUUGAUGAUCCGGAGGUUCAGAGGGAUAUUAAGUUUUUGCCUUAUAAGAUUGUGAAGAAGGAUGGGAAGCCUUAUAUUCAGGUGAAGGUGAAAGGUGAGACAAAGGUGUUUAGCCCUGAGGAAAUCAGUGCUAUGAUAUUAGGGAAAAUGAAAGAAACAGCUGAGGCUUAUUUGGGGAAGAAAAUCAAAGACGCUGUUGUCACUGUUCCAGGUAUAUAUAUAGUUUCUUAAAAACUUUGUUUUUAAAUCGUUUGUGAUGUAUAUAAAUAGUACAAUAUCAAAUUGGCUUACAGAAAAGGGGAUUUUAGGAUUUUUGAGUGCUAAUAUAACUCCUGAAUGAACAACUGAACAAGGACAUGUUCUGUACACUAGGAUUAGUGCAUGUUGAAUUUAUAAGAUAUUAUUUAUAGGAAAAGCUGCAAAACAGUACAGCAUAACCAAUGUAAAAUGGACAGAUUUUUGGUUGAUAUUUAUAAGAGUUGUGAACUUGUGAUUGCUAUGUCUCUGUCUAUGUUUCAUGGUCUAAUGGUUUUAUAUCUGUUGCUUGUUGUAGCCUAUUUCAAUGAUGCACAGAGGCAAGCCACAAAGGACGCAGGCAUCAUUGCUGGGUUGAAUGUGGCUCGGAUAAUCAAUGAACCUACUGCUGCUGCUAUUGCCUACGGUCUGGACAAGAAAGGGGGAGAGAUGAACAUUUUGGUUUAUGAUCUUGGUGGUGGUACUUUUGAUGUUAGCAUCUUGACCAUUGACAAUGGUGUGUUUGAGGUUCUUGCUACUAGUGGAGACACCCACUUGGGAGGAGAGGAUUUUGACCACAGGGUGAUGGAUUACUUCAUCAAGUUGAUUAAAAAGAAGUACAACAAAGAUAUCAGCAAGGAUAACAAGGCUCUUGGGAAGCUUCGCAGGGAAUGUGAGAGAGCAAAGAGAGCAUUGAGUAGCCAACACCAAGUCCGAGUUGAGAUUGAGUCUCUUGUCGAUGGUAUUGACUUCUCAGAGCCUUUAACAAGGGCAAGGUUUGAGGAGUUGAACAUGGACUUGUUUAAGAAGACAAUGGGGCCAGUGAAGAAGGCUUUGGAAGAUUCAGGAGUGAAGAAAACAGAUAUAAAUGAGAUUGUCCUAGUUGGAGGAAGCACCCGAAUUCCCAAGGUACAACAGCUGUUGAAAGACUUUUUUGAUGGCAAGGAGCCAAACAAGGGUGUGAAUCCUGAUGAGGCUGUUGCCUAUGGGGCAGCAGUUCAAGGUGGAAUCCUCAGCGGUGAAGGCGGGCAAGAAACCGGAGGUAUGAUUUUGUUUUAAUGUUAAUUUGUUGUUUGAUAUUCAUGGUUUUGGCAUAUUGGUGACAAACUAAUAUGAGAUUUUCCCUCUUUGGUUUUUUGUAGGCAUUCUUUUGCUUGAUGUUGCUCCUUUGAGUCUGGGUAUUGAAACAGUUGGUGGAGUGAUGACAAAAUUGAUCCCGAGGAAUACUGUUAUCCCAACUAAGAAGUCUCAAAUCUUCACCACUUAUCAAGACCAGCAAACCACAGUGUCCAUCAAGGUAUUACAUGAAUACAUACAAGAAUGAAGAAACCUUACUCUAUUAUAAGCAUCCUGUAUUUGGUGUUGUUAAACUAAUGUGAAUUUGAAAAUUUUCAGGUCUUCGAAGGGGAAAGAAGCUUGACAAAGGAUUGUCGCGAACUCGGGAGGUUUGAUCUAUCUGGCAUUCCACCUGCUCCAAGGUAAUCUAAAACAGAAUUGGACUGUUAUAAUUGUCUAUUGUCACUAGCUUUAAGGAAACAGAAGAUUACUGCAUUGCAAUGAAUUUUGUAUCCUAUAUAACUAUAGCUUAUGGUUUCUGACCAAUGUUCUGAUUCUUAUUGCAGGGGAGUCCCCCAAAUUGAGGUUACCUUUGAGGUUGAUGCCAAUGGUAUCUUACAUGUGAAAGCAGAAGACAAGGCAGGUAAGAAGUCAGAAUCCAUCACCAUCACUAAUGACAAGGGGCGUCUGAGCCAGGAUGAAAUUGAUAGGAUGGUGAAGGAAGCUGAGGAGUUUGCAGAAGAGGAUAAGAAGGUGAAGGAGAAAAUUGAUGCCAGGAACAAGUUGGAGACUUACAUCUACAAUAUGAGGAGCACCAUUGGUGACAAGGACAAGUUGGCAGAUAAGAUUGAUUCAGACGAUAAGGAGAAGAUUGAAACCGCAUUGAGAGAAGCUCUUGAAUGGUUGGAUGAUAACCAGAACGCAGAGAAGGAAGAUUUUGAUGAGAAAUUGAAAGAGGUUGAAGAAGUAUGCAAUCCAGUUAUAAAACAAGUUUAUGAAAAGAGUGGUGGAAGCUCAACUGGAGCUGAGGAUGAAGAACCAAAUGACGAGUUGUAG